rnacentral:rRNA from 1 species
GUGCCAGCAGCCGCGGUAAUACGUAGGGGGCAAGCGUUAUCCGGAAUCACUGGGUGUAAAGGGUGCGUAGGCGGUUAUGCAAGUCAGAUGUGAAAUACCGAAGCUUAACUUCGGGGCUGCAUUUGAAACUGUGUGACUAGAGUACAGGAGAGGUAAGUGGAAUUCCUAGUGUAGCGGUGAAAUGCGUAGAUAUUAGGAAGAACACCAGUGGCGAAGGCGACUUACUGGACUGAAACUGACGCUGAGGCACGAAAGCGUGGGGAGCAAACAGGAUUAGAAACCCCGGUAGUCC